CUUCCACAGAGGAGGUGGCAAGCCGGAACAAGGCACACAAAUGCCAGCUGAGUGGAAGGUCAACCAGUCCAACUUCUCAUGUUUCAGAAGAGGAAAGCAAGGUCUGGAGAGGGAACGUGGCUUGCCCAAGAUAUGUUUCAAACUUUGAUGAAAAGCAGGGAAGUUUGGGAAGAAAAUCCAAGACUUCUCUGGAGAGAGGUGCUGUGUUUUAUAGCAUCGGGCUGGACCCAGGAAGCUGGCUCCCAAAAACCUGGGCUUCCUUUGCAACCUCUACAUGAGGAAGAGGCACCAGUUAGUGUGACCCAUCCUGGACCAGGAAACAGGCUCAGAGAGAAGAAGGGAAUUAUGUACCUCGGUUUAGAGCCAAAGUGUCCUGCCUGCAUUCCAGCUGUUUCCAUCCAUGUCCAUGUCAACUGGCAUCUGGAACUACUCGUAGCAGCAUCCACUCAAUUCACCAGGGUGGAAUCGAUAAAUGGCAACAUUUUCCUCUCUGAUGUUUUUUAACUGCAUUAAAAGGCAUGGAGUUUUAAUUUCA
rnacentral:lncRNA from 1 species